rnacentral:rRNA from 1 species
AGCUCCUUAUGGAGCGAAGUCUUUGAUUCCCCGCUGCCAAGAAAAGCUUCUAGCGAGAUAAAAGGUGCCUGUACCGCAAACCGACACAGGUAGGCGAGGAGAGAAUCCUAAGGUGUGCGAGAGAACUCUGGUUAAGGAACUCGGCAAAAUGACCCCGUAACUUCGGGAGAAGGGGUGCUUUCUUAACGGAAAGCCGCAGUGAAUAGGCCCAAGCGACUGUUUAGCAAAAACACAGCUCUCUGCGAAGCCGUAAGGCGAAGUAUAGGGGGUGACACCUGCCCGGUGCUGGAAGGUUAAGGAGAGGGGUUAGCGUAAGCGAAGCUCUGAACUGAAGCCCCAGUAAACGGCGGCCGUAACUAUAACGGUCCUAAGGUAGCGAAAUUCCUUGUCGGGUAAGUUCCGACCCGCACGAAAGGUGUAACGAUUUGGGCACUGUCUCAACCAGAGACUCGGUGAAAUUAUAGUACCUGUGAAGAUGCAGGUUACCCGCGACAGGACGGAAAGACCCCGUGGAGCUUUACUGUAGCCUGAUAUUGAAUUUUGGUACAGUUUGUACAG